GAGAGAGAGGAUAAGAGGGGAGGAUGGGAGGGAGUUGUAACAAAAGUGAAAACAAAAACUUGAGUGUGAAAACAAUUUCAAAUAGAUUUCAGUUUUUAGUUUUUGUUUUCACUAUUGUUACUUCUUCCUCCCAUCCUCCUCUCUCAUAUUCCCUCUCAAU
rnacentral:miRNA from 1 species